rnacentral:rRNA from 1 species
UAGCUACAGGCUUAACACAUGCAAGUCGAGGGGCAGCAUGGUCUUAGCUUGCUAAGGCCGAUGGCGACCGGCGCACGGGUGAGUAACACGUAUCCAACCUGCCGUCUACUCUUGGACAGCCUUCUGAAAGGAAGAUUAAUACAAGAUGGCAUCAUGAGUCCGCAUGUUCACAUGAUUAAAGGUAUUCCGGUAGACGAUGGGGAUGCGUUCCAUUAGAUAGUAGGCGGGGUAACGGCCCACCUAGUCUUCGAUGGAUAGGGGUUCUGAGAGGAAGGUCCCCCACAUUGGAACUGAGACACGGUCCAAACUCCUACGGGAGGCAGCAGUGAGGAAUAUUGGUCAAUGGGCGAGAGCCUGAACCAGCCAAGUAGCGUGAAGGAUGACUGCCCUAUGGGUUGUAAACUUCUUUUAUAAAGGAAUAAAGUCGGGUAUGGAUACCCGUUUGCAUGUACUUUAUGAAUAGGGAUCGGCUAACUCCGUGCCAGCAGCCGCGGUAAUACGGAGGAUCCGAGCGUUAUCCGGAUUUAUUGGGUUUAAAGGGAGCGUAGAUGGAUGUUUAAGUCAGUUGUGAAAGUUUGCGGCUCAACCGUAAAAUUGCAGUUGAUACUGGACAUCUUGAGUGCAGUUGAGGCAGGCGGAAUUCGUGGUGUAGCGGUGAAAUGCUUAGAUAUCACGAAGAACUCCGAUUGCGAAGGCAGCCUGCUAAGCUGCAACUGACAUUGAGGCUCGAAAGUGUGGGUAUCAAACAGGAUUAGAUACCCUGGUAGUCCACACGGUAAACGAUGAAUACUCGCUGUUUGCGAUAUACGGCAAGCGGCCAAGCGAAAGCGUUAAGUAUUCCACCUGGGGAGUACGCCGGCAACGGUGAAACUCAAAGGAAUUGACGGGGGCCCGCACAAGCGGAGGAACAUGUGGUUUAAUUCGAUGAUACGCGAGGAACCUUACCCGGGCUUAAAUUGCAGAUGAAUUACGGUGAAAGCCGUAAGCCGCAAGGCAUCUGUGAAGGUGCUGCAUGGUUGUCGUCAGCUCGUGCCGUGAGGUGUCGGCUUAAGUGCCAUAACGAGCGCAACCCUUGUUGUCAGUUACUAACAGGUUCCGCUGAGGACUCUGACAAGACUGCCAUCGUAAGAUGUGAGGAAGGUGGGGAUGACGUCAAAUCAGCACGGCCCUUACGUCCGGGGCUACACACGUGUUACAAUGGGGGGUACAGAGGGCCGCUACCACGCGAGUGGAUGCCAAUCCCAAAAACCUCUCUCAGUUCGGACUGGAGUCUGCAACCCGACUCCACGAAGCUGGAUUCGCUAGUAAUCGCGCAUCAGCCACGGCGCGGUGAAUACGUUCCCGGGCCUUGUACACACCGCCCGUCAAGCCAUGGGAGCCGGGGGUACCUGAAGUGCGUAACCGCGAGGAGCGCCCUAGGGUAAAACUGGUGACUGGGGCU